rnacentral:rRNA from 1 species
CAAACGACUCUCGGCAACGGAUAUCUCGGCUCACGCAUCGAUGAAGAACGUAGCAAAAUGCGAUACUUGGUGUGAAUUGCAGAAUCCCGUGAACCAUCGAGUUUUUGAACRCAAGUUGCGCCCGAAGUCUUUUGACUGAGGGCACGUCUGCCUGGGCGUCACAC